UAGGGAAUCUUCGGCAAUGGACGAAAGUCUGACCGAGCAACGCCGCGUGAGUGAAGAAGGUUUUCGGAGCGUAAAGCUCUGUUGUAAGAGAAGAACGAGUGUGAGAGUGGAAAGUUCACACUGUGACGGUAUCUUACCAGAAAGGGACGGCUAACUACGUGCCAGCAGCCGCGGUAAUACGUAGGUCCCGAGCGUUGUCCGGAUUUAUUGGGCGUAAAGCGAGCGCAGGCGGUUAGAUAAGUCUGAAGUUAAAGGCUGUGGCUUAACCAUAGUACGCUUUGGAAACUGUUUAACUUGAGUGCAAGAGGGGAGAGUGGAAUUCCAUGUGUAGCGGUGAAAUGCGUAGAUAUAUGGAGGAACACCGGUGGCGAAAGCGGCUCUCUGGCUUGUAACUGACGCUGAGGCUCGAAAGCGUGGGGAGCAAACAGGAUUAGAUACCCUGGUAGUCCACGCCGUAAACGAUGAGUGCUAGGUGUUAGACCCUUUCCGGGGUUUAGUGCCGUAGCUAACGCAUUAAGCACUCCGCCUGGGGAGUACGACCGCAAGGUUG
rnacentral:rRNA from 1 species